ensembl:lncRNA
CCGAUACUAACUCUGCAUUGUUUCAUUAGCCAAGAGAGGGUCGCCUGUGGUCAUUCGAAUUACUCUGACACAAAAUGUUUCAACUCCUGGCCAGGCAAGAUCAUCACCCACAGUCCAGGAGUGAUAACUUGGGCGAUACUCAGUUGCUUCUGGUCCUUUCCACAUCACUGCAGCUGUUUCAGCCCACAGACCGUGACUCUGGUUGAAAAAUCAGAGUCAGACAAAAAUGGAAAAUCCAACACAUCUCACAGCGCCUUCCAGCCUAUUGAAGAUCUAAGUGAAGCAUUGAUCGGAAAGUGGACCUGAGCCAUAGGACCAUGCCCCAGGACUACCUGACAUGAUGACUCCUUGCUGUCCCCAGUCCACCUGGCCGUGCUGCUGCUCCAGUUUCAACUGUUCUGCCUUAUUAUUAUUGGACCAUGCUGGUCAUUUAUGAACAUUUGAACAUCUUGGCCAUGUUCUGUUAUAAUCUCCACCUGGCACAGCCAGAAGAGGACUGGCCACCCCACAUAGCCUGGUUCCUCUCUAGGUUUCUUCCUAGGUUUUGGCCUUUCUAGGGAGAUUUUCCUAGCCACCGUGCUUCUACACAUGCAUUGCUUGCUGUUUGGGGUUUUAGGCUGGGUUUCUGUACAGCACUUUGAGAUAUCAGCUGAUGUACGAAGGGCUAUAUAAAAAUACAUUUGAUUUGAUUUGAUUUGAUUUAGGGGCCUUUUGGCAAACUUCCAGCAGGCUGUGAUGUGCCUUUUACUGAGGAGUGGCUUCCGUCUGGCCACUCUACCAUAAAAGCCUGAUUGGUGGAGUGCUGCAGAGAUGGUUGUCCUUCUGGAAGGUGCUCCCAUAUCCACAGAGAAACUCUGGAGCUCUGUCAGAGUGACCAACAGGUUUUUGUUCACCUCCCUGACCAAGGCCCUUCUCCCCCAAUUGCUCAGUUUGGCCAGGUGGCCAGCUCUAGGAAGAUUCUUGGUGGUUCCAAACUUCUCCCAUUUAAGAAUGAUGGAUGCCACUGUGUUCUUGGGGGACCUUCAAUGCUGCAGACAUUUUUUGGUACCCUUCCCAAGAUCUGUGCCUCAACACAUUCCUGUCUAGGACCUCUACGGACAAUUCCUUCAACCUCAUGGCUUGGUUUUUGCUCUGACAUGCACUUUCGACUGUGGGACCUUAGACAGGCGUGUGCAUUUCCAAAUAAUGUCCAAUCAAUUGAAUUUACCACAUGUGAACUCCAAUCAAGUUGUAGAAACAUCACAAGGAUAAUCAAUGGAAACGGGAUGCACCUGAGCUCAAUUUGAGUCUCGUGGCACAAGGUCUGAAUACUUAUUGAAAUAAGGUAUUUACUAAAAAUAUUUUUUCCUUUGUCAUUAUGGAGUAUUGUGUGUAGAUGAGGAUUUUUUAAAUUGACAUUUAAGACAUUUUAGAAUAAGGCUGUAACGUAAUAAAAUGUGGAAAAAGUUAAGGGGUCUUAAUACUUUCUGAAUGCAAUGUAUCUCAGG